UCCGCACCUACAACGACGGCGCCAUGCGUAAUGGCAAAUUUCUCCUCCCGCCCUCCGCCUCCGCCGCGUCGCUGCUCGAUGACCACGUCAUGCGACGGGGAAGUACAAGGACAUGGUCUACCUGCUCUCUGGUGCGAGGGUGCGGCUCUGGUGCGAGAGAGCGAGAGAGAAGGGAGAUAUCUGCGAGGAGGGAAGGGAAAACUCGAUGGCGAUGGAGAACUUCAACGACAGUAAUCGUGGUUCGAACCGUUUAAUGGAGUCGUCAUGUUCAUUUUAGAGCGUUAGUUAUGCUCAGUUUUUUUAUAAUGAAGAAACCCUCACCUAAGUCUCUAAUUCGUCGAAGCCGGCACCGGUGGACUUUCAUAAUGGCAAAUUUCUCACUGCGGUAGGAGAAGCACAACACUAUGGCGAUGAAGCGAGUUUUAUUUGCCAACAGUAGGCUUUUGUAGAAAUGGAUCACACUCUGCACCUUCCCGAUUCGCAGACAAGUAUUCAGCUUCUAUGGAUACAAUUGCAGCAAGCACAUUCAAGCAGCUAUGCAGAUACAAUUGCGAAAACAAGUAUUCGUCAGCAAAUGCACAAGUAUUCAGCAAGCACAUUCACAUCCUGCAUCUUCCCGUUCCCUGAUGCGGAGUCACAGCAAUGGCAUGGACAGUAGACAGUUGAUGCGACGGCUACGCUGCUGGUGGAUGAAGGGCGCUGAGGGAUGGCGAGCUACGAUGGGGGUGGGAGUGGGGGCAGGUGGCAGGGAGCGUGCUGGCUGGAAGAGAGCGAGCUCGGUGAUGGCCAUGUGCGCCGUAGCGUCGGAGAACCACCAGACACCGGGGGGGGGGGGGGGGGGGGGGGGUGAGAGCUGUGCAGGCGGCGGGGCACGCUCUAGCUGGGGAACGACGAGCUCGGCAAAGGCGAUGAACGCCGAAGAUUUACAAUGGAGAACCACCACUCCACCAGCCGACGCGCGUACAGUUGCGUCGGGCAGAGGUACAGGCGUACAGCCGUCGGAUGUCACAAUGCUGAUGUCGAGCUUAGCUGAUUCAAUUUGGGUGGAGAAGGGAAGGAGAAAGAGAACACAGGUCCCACAUGUAAUAGCUUGAGGUCCACAUGUACGACGGACGGAAAGUUACCGUGAUGCCAAUUCUGAGUUGAAGUGGAUGUAGGAGGAAACUGAGCAAUCAAUUUGGGCAGCGGAGCAAAGUGACCAGACUCAGGGUGCGCUUGUAAAAAACCCAAAAAUAAAACACUGUGAAUACCCCUAUUCUCCAUUUCUCCUUCCGCCGCCGCACUUGUCCCCUGACCCUAGGUCAAAGUAUCGCCGACUUCGCCAGCCGGAUCAUGUCGACCAGCGCCAACCCGAAACUGAAGCGGCGGCGGGGGGGCUUGCGGAAGCAGGGUCCUGGGUACCCCACGGUGGCCACCACGGGGGCAAUGUUUGCCCAUGAGGUGGGCGCCGAAGGGCCACGGAGGGACACGAGGCAAGGACCCGCGUUGCCUAGGGUGGUUGCCACCUCGACCAGGGGAGGAGGUGCCAUUGAGCAGGGCGCUGACGGAAUGGAAGGUUCGGCGUCGAAAACUGAUAGGAGCGUUCACGAGGCAGUUGGCGUCGAUGGCACGUACCUCACCGAGACACGGUUUGAUCAAUGUGCCAUUUCUCCACUGUCACUGAAAGCCAUCAAAGAUGCUGGAUAUGAGAGGAUGACUCGGGUGCAGGAGGCUACUCUGCCAAUAAUUCUUCAAGGAAAGGAUGUUCUUGCAAAAGCGAAGACAGGAACAGGGAAAACAGUUGCCUUUUUGCUUCCAGCCAUCGAAGUUCUCUCUGCAUUACCUCGUUCAACUUCUAUAAAUUUGCUGGUGAUGUGCCCUACCAGGGAGCUUGCAAACCAAUUGGCUGCUGAGGCCAGGAAGCUUCUCAAGUAUCAUCGCUCACUGGGUGUGCAGGUUGUAAUAGGUGGCACACGGUUACCUCAAGAGCAACGGAGCAUGCAAGCUAACCCAUGUCAGAUUCUUGUUGCUACUCCUGGAAGGCUAAAGGAUCAUCUUGAGAACACGCCUGGAUUCUCCACCCGAAUUAGAGGUGUCAAGGUUCUUGUUCUAGAUGAGGCUGACCGCCUGUUGGAUAUGGGAUUUAGAAGAGACAUUGAGAAAAUAAUUACUUUCAUCCCUAAAGAUAGGCAAACACUGCUGUUUUCUGCUACUGUUUCAGAAGAGAUCCACCAAAUUUCUCACCUCGCAAUGAGAAAGGAUUAUGAUUUCAUUAACGCUGUUCAAGAGGGUGAUGAGGAGACACAUGCCCAGGUAAACCAAACGUACAUGGUUGCACCUCUAGGUCUGCACCUCCCCAUAUUGUAUGAUGUGUUGAAGAAGCAUGUUGCAGAAGAUGCAGAAUACAAAGUUAUAGUAUUCUGUACUACUGCAAUGGUUACAAGACUUGUUGCUGAGGUACUCUCCCAGCUAAAACUGAAUAUAAGAGAGAUUCAUUCCAGAAAGACACAAUCUGCAAGAACUAAGGUCUCAGAUGAAUUCAGGAAGUCAAAGGGUCUCAUAUUAGUCAGCUCCGACGUAUCUGCCCGUGGUGUAGAUUAUCCUGAUGUCACCCUUGUCAUGCAAGUUGGUCUGCCAGCUGAUAGAGAACAGUAUAUACAUAGACUCGGAAGGACUGGACGGAAAGGCAAGGAAGGGCAAGGCAUCUUACUACUGGCUCCCUGGGAAAUGCAUUUUCUUAGUACAGUUAACGAUUUGUCAAUAUCAGAGGCUGCAACACCUUCGGUUGAUUCAAGCAUUCAGGCAGCAGUCAAAGACGCAGUCAGAAGAGUGGAGAUGAAGAGCAAGGAAUCAGCCUACCAGGCAUGGCUGGGGUACUACAACUCGCACAAGGCUACCAACCGUGACAAGGCCAGACUCGUGAUGCUGGCUGAAGAGUUCAGUCAGAGCAUUGGGCUCGCAGUCCCGCCAGCCAUUCCCAAACAAAUUCUACGGAAGAUGGGCCUCAGCAACGUUCCUGGGCUCCGGUCUUCGUAACUAACCGUGGUGAUCCAGAUCCAGCAGAACUUGACCAGUGCUUGUACCAGCUUGCUAAACGCUGGCUCUUCCACCACCAUCGCUGCACGUUCAAACAGGCCCUACGAUUAGUAUUCAACUAUGUCAUGUUUUCAUUCAAAAGGGCACGGGCUCGUAUCAAUCAGUUCCGGGGAGGAAAAGAAAAUGUAUGUAUUUGCUGGCACUGGCAGCACCACAUGUGAGACAUGCCAGUUGAUAUAUUCAUUGUGAUAGUAGACUUGUCCUGCUACAUUUAUUUCCGAAGUUAUUGGCAUUGCAAUUCUCGCA